GAUGAACGCUGGCGGCGCGCCUAACACAUGCGAGUCGAACGGCACCCCUCCUCGGAGGGCAGCGAGUGGCGAACGGCUGAGUAACACGUGGAGAACCUGCCCCCUCCCCCGGGAUAGCCGCCCGAAAGGACGGGUAAUACCGGAUACCCCGGGGUGCCGCAUGGCACCCCGGCUAAAGCCCCGACGGGAGGGGAUGGCUCCGCGGCCCAUCAGGUAGACGGCGGGGUGACGGCCCACCGUGCCGACAACGGGUAGCCGGGUUGAGAGACCGACCGGCCAGAUUGGGACUGAGACACGGCCCAGACUCCUACGGGAGGCAGCAGUGGGGAAUCUUGCGCAAUGGGGGGAACCCUGACGCAGCGACGCCGCGUGCGGGACGGAGGCCUUCGGGUCGUAAACCGCUUUCAGCAGGGAAGAGUCAAGACUGUACCUGCAGAAGAAGCCCCGGCUAACUACGUG
rnacentral:rRNA from 1 species